GUCGAGCGAAUGAUGAGGAGCUUGCUCCUCUGAUUUAGCGGCGGACGGGUGAGUAACACGUGGGUAAUCUGCCUGUAAGACGGGGAUAACUCCGGGAAACCGGGGCUAAUACCGGAUAACAAGAGGAAAUGCAUAUUUCCUUUUUGAAAGUCGGCCUAUCGCUGACACUUACAGAUGAGCCCGCGGCGCAUUAGCUAGUUGGUGAGGUAAUGGCUCACCAAGGCGACGAUGCGUAGCCGACCUGAGAGGGUGAUCGGCCACACUGGGACUGAGACACGGCCCAGACUCCUACGGGAGGCAGCAGUAGGGAAUCUUCGGCAAUGGGCGAAAGCCUGACCGAGCAACGCCGCGUGAGCGAUGAAGGCCUUCGGGUCGUAAAGCUCUGUUGUUAGGGAAGAACAAGUACGAGAGUAACUGCUCGUACCUUGACGGUACCUAACCAGAAAGCCACGGCUAACUACGUGCCAGCAGCCGCGGUAAUACGUAGGUGGCAAGCGUUAUCCGGAAUUAUUGGGCGUAAAGCGCGCGCAGGCGGUCUCUUAAGUCUGAUGUGAAAGCCCACGGCUCAACCGUGGAGGGUCAUUGGAAACUGGGAGACU
rnacentral:rRNA from 1 species